GGGUUGUGAGGUUAAGCGACUAAGCGUACACGGUGGAUGCCCUGGCAGUCAGAGGCGAUGAAGGGCGUGCUAAUCUGCGAUAAGCGCCGGUAAGGUGAUAUGAACCGUUAUAACCGGCGAUACCCGAAUGGGGAAACCCAGUGUGAUUCGUCACACUAUCAUUAACUGAAUCCAUAGGUUAAUGAGGCGAACCGGGGGAACUGAAACAUCUAAGUACCCCGAGGAAAAGAAAUCAACCGAGAUUCCCCCAGUAGCGGCGAGCGAACGGGGAGGAGCCCAGAGCCUGAAUCAGCAUGUGUGUUAGUGGAAGCGUCUGGAAAGGCGCGCGAUACAGGGUGACAGCCCCGUACACAAAAGCGUAUGUGCUGUGAGCUCGAUGAGUAGGGCGGGACACGUGGUAUCCUGUCUGAAUAUGGGGGGACCAUCCUCCAAGGCUAAAUACUCCUGACUGACCGAUAGUGAACCAGUACCGUGAGGGAAAGGCGAAAAGAACCCCGGCGAGGGGAGUGAAAAAGAACCUGAAACCGUGUACGUACAAGCAGUGGGAGCACCCUUUGGGGUGUGACUGCGUACCUUUUGUAUAAUGGGUCAGCGACUUAUAUUCUGUAGCAAGGUUAACCGAAUAGGGGAGCCGGAGGGAAACCGAGUCUUAAUUGGGCGUUAAGUUGCAGGGUAUAGACCCGAAACCCGGUGAUCUAGCCAUGGGCAGGUUGAAGGUUGGGUAACACUAACUGGAGGACCGAACCGACUAAUGUUGAAAAAUUAGCGGAUGACCUGUGGCUGGGGGUGAAAGGCCAAUCAAACCGGGAGAUAGCUGGUUCUCCCC
rnacentral:rRNA from 1 species